rnacentral:rRNA from 1 species
GAGUAACGCGUGGGGAAUCUGCCUUUGAGCGGGGGACAACAUUUGGAAACGAAUGCUAAUACCGCAUAAAAACUUUAAACACAAGUUUUAAGUUUGAAAGAUGCAAUUGCAUCACUCAAAGAUGAUCCCGCGUUGUAUUAGCUAGUUGGUGAGGUAAAGGCUCACCAAGGCGAUGAUACAUAGCCGACCUGAGAGGGUGAUCGGCCACAUUGGGACUGACACACGGCCCAAACUCCUACGGGAGGCAGCAGUAGGGAAUCUUCGGCAAUGGACGAAAGUCUGACCGAGCAACGCCGCGUGAGUGAAGAAGGUUUUCGGAUCGUAAAACUCUGUUGGUAGAGAAGAACGUUGGUGAGAGUGGAAAGCUCAUCAAGUGACGGUAACUACCCAGAAAGGGACGGCUAACUACGUGCCAGCAGCCGCGGUAAUACGUAGGUCCCGAGCGUUGUCCGGAUUUAUUGGGCGUAAAGCGAGCGCAGGUGGUUUAUUAGAGUAACGCGUGGGGAAUCUGCCUUUGAGCGGGGGACAACAUUUGGAAACGAAUGCUAAUACCGCAUAAAAACUUUAAACACAAGUUUUAAGUUUGAAAGAUGCAAUUGCAUCACUCAAAGAUGAUCCCGCGUUGUAUUAGCUAGUUGGUGAGGUAAAGGCUCACCAAGGCGAUGAUACAUAGCCGACCUGAGAGGGUGAUCGGCCACAUUGGGACUGACACACGGCCCAAACUCCUACGGGAGGCAGCAGUAGGGAAUCUUCGGCAAUGGACGAAAGUCUGACCGAGCAACGCCGCGUGAGUGAAGAAGGUUUUCGGAUCGUAAAACUCUGUUGGUAGAGAAGAACGUUGGUGAGAGUGGAAAGCUCAUCAAGUGACGGUAACUACCCAGAAAGGGACGGCUAACUACGUGCCAGCAGCCGCGGUAAUACGUAGGUCCCGAGCGUUGUCCGGAUUUAUUGGGCGUAAAGCGAGCGCAGGUGGUUUAUUA